rnacentral:rRNA from 1 species
GGGGAAUCUUGCGCAAUGGCCGCAAGGCUGACGCAGCGACGCCGCGUGGGGGAGGAAGGGCUUCGGCCCGUAAACCCCUGUUGCCCGGGGCGAACAUCCCUUUUCGAGGGGACUGACGGUACCGGGUGAGGAAGCACCGGCGAACGCCGUGCCAGCAGCCUCGGUAAUACGGAGGGUGCGAGCGUUGUCCGGAAUCACUGGGCGUAAAGGGCGCGUAGGUGGCCGAGCAAGGUCGCGGUGAAAGCCCGGGGCUCAACCCCGGGUCGGCCGUGGCAACUACUUGGCUUGAGCACUGUAGGGGCGGGUGGAAUUCCGGGUGUAGCGGUGGAAUGCGUAGAGAUCCGGAAGAACACCGGUGGCGAAGGCGGCCCGCUGGGCAGGAAGACGGGCGCAAGUCCGUCGGCUGACACUGAGGCGCGACAGCGUGGGGAGCAAAC